UUGACUUAAUUGGAAGUGAGAUU
rnacentral:miRNA from 3 species